rnacentral:rRNA from 1 species
UACGUAGGGGGCGAGCGUUGUCCGGAGUUACUGGGCGUAAAGCGCACGCAGGCGGUCUGCUAAGUUUGGAGUGACAGUUGGUGGCUUAACUGCCAAAGUGCUUCGAAAACUGACAGACUUGAGGGCUUCAGAGGGACACGGAAUUCCGGGUGGAGUGGUGAAAUGCGUAGAGAUCCGGAGGAACACCAAAGGCGAAGGCAGUGUCCUGGGGAGUACCUGACGCUCAGACACGAAAGCUAGGGGAGCGAACGGG